rnacentral:rRNA from 1 species
GAGCGGAGUGAUGGUGCUUGCACUAUCACUUAGCGGCGGACGGGUGAGUAAUGCUUAGGAAUCUGCCUAUUAGUGGGGGACAACAUUUCGAAAGGAAUGCUAAUACCGCAUACGUCCUACGGGAGAAAGCAGGGGAUCUUCGGACCUUGCGCUAAUAGAUGAGCCUAAGUCGGAUUAGCUAGUUGGUGGGGUAAAGGCCUACCAAGGCGACGAUCUGUAGCGGGUCUGAGAGGAUGAUCCGCCACACUGGGACUGAGACACGGCCCAGACUCCUACGGGAGGCAGCAGUGGGGAAUAUUGGACAAUGGGCGCAAGCCUGAUCCAGCCAUGCCGCGUGUGUGAAGAAGGCCUUAUGGUUGUAAAGCACUUUAAGCGAGGAGGAGGCUACUGAAGUUAAUACCUUCAGAUAGUGGACGUUACUCGCAGAAUAAGCACCGGCUAACUCUGUG